UACGGGAGGCAGCAGUGGGGAAUAUUGCACAAUGGGCGCAAGCCUGAUGCAGCCAUGCCGCGUGUAUGAAGAAGGCCUUCGGGUUGUAAAGUACUUUCAGUCGUGAGGAAGGUGUUAAGGUUAAUAACCUUAGCAAUUGACGUUAGCGACAGAAGAAGCACCGGCUAACUCCGUGCCAGCAGCCGCGGUAAUACGGAGGGUGCGAGCGUUAAUCGGAAUUACUGGGCGUAAAGGGCACGCAGGCGGUUAAUUAAGUUGGAUGUGAAUCCCCGGGCUUAACCUGGGAAUGGCAUUCAGACUGGUUAGCUAGAGUCUUGUAGAGGGGGUAGAAUUCCAUGUGUGCGGUGAAAUGCGUAGAGAUGUGGAGGAAUACCGGUGGGCGAAGGCGGGCCCCUGGGACAAAGGACUGACGCUCAUGUGCGAAAGCGUGGGGAGCAAACAGGGAUUAGAU
rnacentral:rRNA from 1 species